rnacentral:rRNA from 1 species
CACGUAGGCGGACCAGAAAGUUGGGGUGAAAUCCCGGGGCUCAACCCCGGAACUGCCUCCAAAACUCCUGGUCUGGAGUCCGAGAGAGGUGAGUGGAAUUCCGAGUGUAGAGGUGAAAUUCGUAGAUAUUCGGAGGAACACCAGUGGCGAAGGCGGCUCACUGGCUCGGUACUGACGCUGAGGUGCGAAAGCGUGGGGAGCAAACA